ACGCUGGCGGCGUGGCUAAUACGUGCAAGUCGAGCGAGCGGAACUAACAGAUUUACUUCGGUAAUGACGUUAGGAAAGCGAGCGGCGGAUGGGUGAGUAACACGUGGGGAACCUGCCCCAUAGUCUGGGAUACCACUUGGAAACAGGUGCUAAUACCGGAUAAGAAAGCAGAUCGCAUGAUCAGCUUUUGAAAGGCGGCGUAAGCUGUCGCUAUGGGAUGGCCCCGCGGUGCAUUAGCUAGUUGGUAAGGUAAAGGCUUACCAAGGCGAUGAUGCAUAGCCGAGUUGAGAGACUGAUCGGCCACAUUGGGACUGAGACACGGCCCAAACUCCUACGGGAGGCAGCAGUAGGGAAUCUUCCACAAUGGACGCAAGUCUGAUGGAGCAACGCCGCGUGAGUGAAGAAGGUUUUCGGAUCGUAAAGCUCUGUUGUUGGUGAAGAAGGAUAGAGGUAGUAACUGGCCUUUAUUUGACGGUAAUCAACCAGAAAGUCACGGCUAACUACGUGCCAGCAGCCGCGGUAAUACGUAGGUGGCAAGCGUUGUCCGGAUUUAUUGGGCGUAAAGCGAGCGCAGGCGGAAGAAUAAGUCUGAUGUGAAAGCCCUCGGCUUAACCGAGGAACUGCAUCGGAAACUGUUUUUCUUGAGUGCAGAAGAGGAGAGUGGAACUCCAUGUGUAGCGGUGGAAUGCGUAGAUAUAUGGAAGAACACCAGUGGCGAAGGCGGCUCUCUGGUCUGCAACUGACGCUGAGGCUCGAAAGCAUGGGUAGCGAACAGGAUUAGAUACCCUGGUAGUCCAUGCCGUAAGCGAUGGGUGCUAAGUGUUGGGAGGUUUCCGCCUCUCAGUGCUGCAGCUAACGCAUUAAGCACUCCGCCUGGGGAGUACGACCGCAAGGUUGAAACUCAAAGGAAUUGACGGGGGCCCGCACAAGCGGUGGAGCAUGUGGUUUAAUUCGAAGCAACGCGAAGAACCUUACCAGGUCUUGACAUCUAGUGCCAUUUGUAGAGAUACAAAGUUCCCUUCGGGGACGCUAAGACAGGUGGUGCAUGGCUGUCGUCAGCUCGUGUCGUGAGAUGUUGGGUUAAGUCCCGCAACGAGCGCAACCCUUGUUAUUAGUUGCCAGCAUUAAGUUGGGCACUCUAAUGAGACUGCCGGUGACAAACCGGAGGAAGGUGGGGAUGACGUCAAGUCAUCAUGCCCCUUAUGGCCUGGGCUACACACGUGCUACAAUGGGCAGUACAACGAGAAGCGAGCCUGCGAAGGCAAGCGAAUCUCUGAAAGCUGUUUUCAGUUCGGACUGCAGUCUGCAACUCGACUGCACGAAGCUGGAAUCGCUAGUAAUCGCGGAUCAGCACGCCGCGGUGAAUACGUUCCCGGGCCU
rnacentral:rRNA from 1 species